rnacentral:rRNA from 1 species
AGUGAACGCUGGCGGUAUGCCUAACACAUGCAAGUCGAACGGCAGCACAGUAAGAGCUUGCUCUUACGGGUGGCGAGUGGCGGACGGGUGAGGAAUACAUCGGAAUCUACUUUUUCGUGGGGGAUAACGCAGGGAAACUUACGCUAAUACCGCAUACGACCUACGGGUGAAAGCAGGGGAUCUUUUGACCUUUCGCGAUUGAAUGAGCCGAUGUCGGAUUAGCUAGUUGGCGGGGUAAAGGCCCACCAAGGCGACGAUCCGUAACUGGUAUGAGAGGAUGAUCAGCCAGACUGGAAGUGAGACACGGUACAGACUCCUACGGGAGGCAACAGUGGGGAAUAUUGGACGAUGGGGGCAAGCCUGAUCCAGCAAUACCGCGUGGGUGAAGAAGGCCUUCGGGUUGUAAAGCCCUUUUGUUGGGAGAGAAAAGCAGCAGGUUAAUACCCCGCUGUUCUGACGGUACCCAAAGAAUAAGCACCGGCUAACUUCGUG